rnacentral:rRNA from 1 species
UACGUAGGGUGCAAGCGUUGUCCGGAAUUACUGGGCGUAAAGGGCGCGUAGGCGGACAGUUUAGUCAGAGGUGAAAGCCCAGGGCUCAACCUUGGAAUUGCCUUUGAUACUGGCUGUCUUGAGUUCGGGAGAGGUGAGUGGAAUGCCGAGUGUAGAGGUGAAAUUCGUAGAUAUUCGGCGGAACACCAGUGGCGAAGGCGACUCACUGGCCCGAUACUGACGCUGAGGCGCGAAAGCGUGGGGAGCAAACAGG